rnacentral:rRNA from 2 species
CACACAUCUAUCAUGCAGUCGAGCGAACUGAUUAGAAGCUUGCUUCUAUGACGUUAGCGGCGGACGGGUGAGUAACACGUGGGCAACCUGCCUGUAAGACUGGGAUAACUUCGGGAAACCGAAGCUAAUACCGGAUAGGAUCUUCUCCUUCAUGGGAGAUGAUUGAAAGAUGGUUUCGGCUAUCACUUACAGAUGGGCCCGCGGUGCAUUAGCUAGUUGGUGAGGUAACGGCUCACCAAGGCAACGAUGCAUAGCCGACCUGAGAGGGUGAUCGGCCACACUGGGACUGAGACACGGCCCAGACUCCUACGGGAGGCAGCAGUAGGGAAUCUUCCGCAAUGGACGAAAGUCUGACGGAGCAACGCCGCGUGAGUGAUGAAGGCUUUCGGGUCGUAAAACUCUGUUGUUAGGGAAGAACAAGUACGAGAGUAACUGCUCGUACCUUGACGGUACCUAACCAGAAAGCCACGGCUAACUACGUGCCAGCAGCCGCGGUAAUACGUAGGUGGCAAGCGUUAUCCGGAAUUAUUGGGCGUAAAGCGCGCGCAGGCGGUUUCUUAAGUCUGAUGUGAAAGCCCACGGCUCAACCGUGGAGGGUCAUUGGAAACUGGGGAACUUGAGUGCAGAAGAGAAAAGCGGAAUUCCACGUGUAGCGGUGAAAUGCGUAGAGAUGUGGAGGAACACCAGUGGCGAAGGCGGCUUUUUGGUCUGUAACUGACGCUGAGGCGCGAAAGCGUGGGGAGCAAACAGGAUUAGAUACCCUGGUAGUCCACGCCGUAAACGAUGAGUGCUAAGUGUUAGAGGGUUUCCGCCCUUUAGUGCUGCAGCUAACGCAUUAAGCACUCCGCCUGGGGAGUACGGUCGCAAGACUGAAACUCAAAGGAUUUGACGGGGGCCCGCACAAGCGGUGGAGCAUGUUGGUUUAUUUCGAAGCAACGCGAAGAACCUUACCAGGGUCUUUGACAUCCUCUGACACUCUAGAAGAUAGAGGCGUUCCCCCUUCGCGGGACAGAGUUGACAGUGGUGGCAUGGUUGUCGUUCAGCUCGUGUCGUGAGAUGUUUGGUUAGUCCCGCAACAGGCCGCACCCUUGAUCCUAAUUGCCAGCAUUAGUGGCACUCCUAAGCGACUGCCGUGACAACGUAGAGGUCGAUGACUCAUCUACAUGCCCUUACAUAGACCUGGUCUAUACCACUACGUGCUACA